GUCCAAAAGUAGAGGUUAGUCAUUUAGAACCAUAUGUGAAGAAAUGUCUUUUUUCAGAAGGUAGUGAAUCUUUCAAAUUCUCAGAUAAAGGGAGGAAACAGAUUAUCUUUUAGUUUUCUUCUGGUUCUGAUCUACAAUACCCGUAAACACCAGAGACCAGCGAGGGAAUGGGGAUACUGACUAUCCCUGAACAGGCUUGGAGGCAAGAUUAACCUCAUUGAAUUCCUGGGAGAAAAAGAAUAAUUAAAAUGAAAUUGUUCCUUGAACACUUACAUUUCUCAGUUUAAAAUACUGAAGAUUAAGAGGCUGUGUAAUUGGUCAGAGUGGUGAGAGGUGGGGGAAUCACAUCUCCCAGAAGUUCCCAAACCCGUCAACAAUUCCAGAUGCUGCCUGACCUGCCGAGUUCCUCAAACAUUUUGUUUGUUGCUCCAGAUUCCAGCAUCUGCAGUCUGUUGUGUCUCCAUGGCAAUGUAGCAUCUCGUUUUUUUAAAACCCUUUUCCAAUCAUGUCUUUGAAAUUUCCUGUUGAAUUUACAUCCAUUAUCCUUCCUGGCAGCAGAUCCCAAAUCACAGCAAUGCACUAUGUGAACAACAUAGAAUUUCAUCUUUCCUCUGGUUCUUCCUAAUUUUUAAUAAAAUACUAUUUCUGCUUAAAUACUUGAUUAAUUCUCUUUUAAGUGCUGUGCUUUGGGGUUGUUAAAAAUUCCUCUGGUUUAAAACAGUGAAUGAAAAUCUGAGUUCCAGCUGUUCUAGUUUAAUUAAAUCAUUGAUGGUGUUAGGUUUUGACAGUGGAAGUGUUUGCACUUGUCAAUGUGAAGAAGGUGUGCAUUGUGAGUCAUGCAGAAGACUGUUUAAAAACGAUCUUAUCUGUAUUUAUUAUAUUUUCUCUGUGC